UGCCCUCAAAAAUAAAAACAAUAGGGCAAAGCAAACCAUUGCUCACACAGGUGGAUCUAAGAGCCUUGCAAGGAAAAGAGAUGAAAUGGAAAAAGAGUGUGGCCAAAAGGUCAGUAGAGGAGAGGUAUGGAUAGCCACCCACAAGCAUGCUAACGGAACAUUUGUUAGUGAUGAAGCAAGGGAAAUUGGUGAAAAAAUUCAAUCAUAUGAAUCAAAAUUAUCAACAUCCCAAUCAAAAGAUGUAUCUAGCACCGAUUCCUUAGCUUUUGCUUUCG